rnacentral:rRNA from 1 species
AGUGAACGCUGGCGGUAGGCCUAACACAUGCAAGUCGAACGGCAGCACAGGAGAGCUUGCUCUCUGGGUGGCGAGUGGCGGACGGGUGAGGAAUACAUCGGAAUCUACUCUGUCGUGGGGGAUAACGUAGGGAAACUUACGCUAAUACCGCAUACGACCUACGGGUGAAAGCAGGGGAUCUUCGGACCUUGCGCGAUUGAAUGAGCCGAUGUCGGAUUAGCUAGUUGGCGGGGUAAAGGCCCACCAAGGCGACGAUCCGUAGCUGGUCUGAGAGGAGGAUCAGCCACACUGGAACUGAGACACGGUCCAGACUCCUACGGGAGGCAGCAGUGGGGAAUAUUGGACAAUGGGCGCAAGCCUGAUCCAGCCAUACCGCGAGGGUGAAGAAGGCCUUCGGGUUGUAAAGCCCUUUUGUUGGGAAAGAAAUCCAGCUGGCUAAUACCCGGUUGGGAUGACGGUACCCAAAGAAUAAGCACCGGCUAACUUCGUGCCAGCAGCCGCCGUAA